rnacentral:rRNA from 1 species
CCCAGACUCCUACGGGAGGCAGCAGUGGGGAAUAUUGCACAAUGGGGGAACCCUGAUGCAGCGACGCCACGUGGGUGAAGGAGUGCUUCGGCAUGUAAAGCCCUAUCGGCAGGGAAGAAGCAAGACGGGACCUGACUAAGAAGCCCCGGCUAACUACGUGCCAGCAGCCGCGGUAAUACGGAGGAUGCGAGCGUUAUCCGGAUUUAUUGGGUUUAAAGGGUGCGCAGGCGGCACGGCAAGCCGGCGGGAAAAUCGCGGGGCUCAACCCCGCCCAGCCGUCGGAACUGCCGGGCUAGAGUGGGCGAGAAGUGCGCGGAAUGCGUGGUGUAGCGGUGAAAUGCAUAGAUAUCACGCAGAACUCCGAUUGCGAAGGCAGCGCACCGGCGCCCUACUGACGCUCAGGCACGAAAGCGUGGGUAUCGAACAGGAUUAGAUACCCGUGUA